AGAGACAAAGUGAACAAAUAGUACCGUAUAUGGACAGAAAAGACGUUUACGUCACCACAACUUCUUAAUAUUUAGUUAUAUAACGUUAGCUUUUUGAAUUCGUAACGUUAUAGCUAACCAGACUAAUUAGCCCCACUUUUAGGAUUUAGGGCGCUCAAUAAACACAUAAUUGGCUAGGGUUAGGAGAAAGUUGCAAUUUUGGUGGAGAGACAGUCCAGUCCUAAGUAAAACUGUGUCUGUGUGCUCUGUGAACAAGUGGCCUGCUCAAGGGUCGAUGCGAAAGGCCAAUAGUUUGUCGGAGUGCAGAUUGUU